rnacentral:misc_RNA from 1 species
UUAAGUUCAGCGGGUAGUCCUACCUGAUUUGAGGUCAAAUUGUCAUGUAUUGUCCAAAUGAACAGACAGUUAGAAGCAGUGCAAAACCUAUUUGCAGACAUCCAACGGCGUAGAUAAUUAUCACACCAACGGAUAGUCCACGCAGGGCACCGGCUAAUACAUUUAAGGGGAGCUGACAUCCGAAGAAAGCCAGCAAAAGA